UACGUAGGGGGCUAGCGUUGUCCGGAAUCAUUGGGCGUAAAGCGCGUGUAGGCGGUCCGGUAAGUCCGCUGUGAAAGUCGGGGGCUCAACCCUCGAAUGCCGGUGGAUACUGUCGGGCUAGAGUGCGGAAGAGGCGAGUGGAAUUCCUGGUGUAGCGGUGAAAUGCGCAGAUAUCAGGAGGAACACUGAUUGCGAAGGCAGCUCGCUGGGACGUCACUGACGCUGAGACGCGAAAGCGUGGGGAGCAAACAGG
rnacentral:rRNA from 1 species